rnacentral:rRNA from 1 species
AAGUCGAACGGUAACCGGUAGCUUGCUCCGCUGACGAGUGGCGAACGGGUGAGUAAUAUAUCGGAACGUACCCAAGAGUGGGGGAUAACGUGGCGAAAGUUACGCUAAUACCGCAUACGAUCCAAGGAUGAAAGCAGGGGACCUUCGGGCCUUGUGCUCCUGGAGCGGCCGAUAUCUGAUUAGCUAGUUGGUGAGGUAAAGGCUCACCAAGGCGACGAUCAGUAGCUGGUCUGAGAGGACGACCAGCCACACUGGAACUGAGCCAGGGUCAAACUCUCUACGGGAGGCAGCAGUGGGGAAUUUUGGACAAUGGGCGCAAGCCUGAUCCAGCAAUGCCGCGUGAGUGAAGAAGGCCUUCGGGUUGUAAAGCUCUUUUGUCAGGGAAGAAACGGGAUUGGCUAAUAUCCAGUCCUAAUGACGGUACCUGAAGAAUAAGCACCGGCUAACUACGUGCCAGCAGCCGCGGUAAUACGUAGGGUGCAAGCGUUAAUCGGAAUUACUGGGCGUAAAGCGUGCGCAGGCGGUUUUGUAAGUCUGACGUGAAAUCCCCGGGCUCAACCUGGGAAUUGCGAUGGAGACUGCAAGGCUAGAAUCUGGCAGAGGGGGGUAGAAUUCCACGUGUAGCAGUGAAAUGCGUAGAGAUGUGGAGGAACACCGAUGGCGAAGGCAGCCCCCUGGGUCAAGAUUGACGCUCAUGCACGAAAGCGUGGGGAGCAAACAGGAUUAGAUACCCUGGUAGUCCACGCCCUAAACGAUGUCUACUAGUUGUCGGGUUUUAAUUAACUUGGUAACGCAGCUAACGCGUGAAGUAGACCGCCUGGGGAGUACGGUCGCAAGAUUAAAACUCAAAGGAAUUGACGGGGACCCGCACAAGCGGUGGAUGAUGUGGAUUAAUUCGAUGCAACGCGAAAAACCUUACCUACCCUUGACAUGUCAGGAAGACCGGAGAGAUUUGGUUGUGCCCGAAAGGGAACCUGAACACAGGUGCUGCAUGGCUGUCGUCAGCUCGUGUCGUAAGGGGGUGGUCAAGCCCCACCCGCCGUUUCAACGUCAAUAGCUGGAACUAAGCUCUAACACAUUUUUAAAGAAAAGCAUCUCCCUGUCUUGCGCGGUCAAUCGAACAAGCAAAGGGUGACACGCGCCAAUUUUUUUCUUGCCUUAUAACUAUCUGAUGACGUGACAUAGGAGAGCGACGGCCUCUGGCGCGGAGAGCAGAAAAUGUUCAAGGUUUGCCUAAGUUAUGUAGGUCUGGUAAACCUUCAACUGCGGUCGUCUCCGGCGCAGAGGCCGACGCACCCGAAUACACGUCAGACCAUGGUUAACUCUCCGAGCAACAACGGCGCGGAGAACACAUGUUCAGGCGAAUGAGCGCCAUCGCGCAGGAUGCUGCCCGAAAAGAUAAAUGGCUAGCGAGU